UACGUAGGGUGCAAGCGUUAAUCGGAAUUACUGGGCGUAAAGCGUGCGCAGGCGGUGAUGUAAGACAGUUGUGAAAUCCCCGGGCUCAACCUGGGAAUUGCAUCUGUGACUGCAUCGCUAGAGUACGGUAGAGGGGGAUGGAAUUCCGCGUGUAGCAGUGAAAUGCGUAGAUAUGCGGAGGAACACCGAUGGCGAAGGCAAUCCCCUGGACCUGUACUGACGCUCAUGCACGAAAGCGUGGGGAGCAAACAGG
rnacentral:rRNA from 1 species